rnacentral:rRNA from 1 species
AACGAACGCUGGCGGCGCGCUUAAUACAUGCAAGUCGAACGAGAAGGUGUAGCAAUACACUUGUAAAGUGGCGAACGGGUGAGGAAUACAUGGGUAACCUACCCUCGAGUGGGGAACAACCAGCCGAAAGGUUGGCUAAUACCGCGUACGCUUCCGGGUCUUCGGAUUCGGAAGGAAAGUCAUACCGUGGGUAUGACGCUCAAGGAUGGGCUCAUGUCCUAUCAGCUUGUUGGUAGGGUAACGGCCACCAAGGCUCCGACGGGUAGCUGGUCUGAGAGGACGAUCAGCCACACUGGCACUGCGACACGGGCCAGACUCCUACGGGAGGCAGCAGUAAGGAAUAUUGCGCAAUGGGCGAAAGCCUGACGCAGCGACGCCG